GCUAGCCCAGUUGUUGAGUGAGGCCAUCUGCUGUGGUGACAAAGAGGAAGCCAAGAGGUGUUUGGAGCAGCUGGCAGAGUUGUGUGUACCAAUGUCUGUCAGGAUCUCCCACAAGGCUUACUCCCAGGACUCUAUUCGUGCAGAGUAAUUCAAACCCAGUUACCUUUUAUGGUUGCUUUGCUGCAGUUUGAAGUUGGGAGUCAGGGAUGCACAUUCAGAUAACUAUGUUCCUGUUGCCUUGUUGGUAACACUCGACAUGACCAUUUCAGAUCUGAAAGAGAAGAGCUGGGUGAUCGGGAAGCGUCUGGCUGAGGACUAAGACUCAGCCAUUGGUUGAGGAAUAAUGAAGACCAUGCCUACUUGUACAUCAAGUCUGCCCAUGCUGUCAACCUCAGCUGGGAUCAACUGAACCAGG